UACGAAGGGGGCUAGCGUUGUUCGGAAUUACUGGGCGUAAAGCGCACGUAGGCGGACUCUUAAGUCAGGGGUGAAAUCCCGGGGCUCAACCUCGGAACUGCCUUUGAUACUGCGAGUCUUGAGACCGGAAGAGGUGAGUGGAAUUCCUAGUGUAGAGGUGAAAUUCGUAGAUAUUAGGAAGAACACCAGUGGCGAAGGCGGCUCACUGGUCCGGUUCUGACGCUGAGGUGCGAAAGCGUGGGGAGCAAACAGG
rnacentral:rRNA from 1 species